rnacentral:misc_RNA from 1 species
UCAAACUUGGUCAUUUAGAGGAAGUAAAAGUCGUAACAAGGUUUCCGUAGGUGAACCUGCGGAAGGAUCAUUAGCGAAUGCAGAGGCCUGCCUUACGGCGCCUCGAUUCCACACACACACACCUUUACGUGAACUGUCGAGCCGGAGACGACAUGGGUACUGCCUGUGGAGGCUCUGGCUCUCAUCCCUCAAACUCCAUAAGUUUUUGUAUGUGCAAACUGUGCGAAAUAGCAAUCAGUACAACUUUCAACAACGGAUCUCUUGGCUCCCCCAUCGAUGAAGAACGCAGC